CUAAAAUAAAGUGACCACUUCAUAUUCAUCCUCUCUCUGAUUCUAGGCUUCCUGUCAGUUGGAGUAGCAGGCACUGUUUUUCUGUUGCAGUAUAUUUGCCAUAUCUCUACAUCGACUGACUGUGGCUCCCUGUGGAGUUUCAAAGUGCAGGUAAGUAUCAAGAGAGUCAGUGGAGAACAAUCUGAAAAAUACAGCAAUUGUGCUACAGAUCAAGCAGAAUCAGCUUCGGGAAGGAGAUGCAACCACGGCUGCAAACGGACAUUUUCUGUCCGGCGCGACUUCCCUGCGAGUAAUUAAUAACUGGAGAAGCAUUACCCCAUGAGAAGAAACUAAAAGCCAGGUAGUUAUGAAAGCACAUCAAACAUCUGGGCUGCUCCCUGGAUUAGACUGAGCCAUGUCUAGAAUACUCCAAGGAUUCUUUCUGAAAAAGGAGUUUUCUUGAGGGGUUUGAGAAAUCCAGUACUCUGCAACGCAGUCUUGUGAAGCUGAGCUAUACCAAAUGAGGUAAGGCAGUAGUCCUUGGUCCUCCUGCACUUUCACCCCCUGCUUUACUGGUAUCAAGGUUUUUU
rnacentral:lncRNA from 1 species